rnacentral:rRNA from 1 species
GGAGAGUUUGAUCCUGGCUCAGAGUUAACGCUGGCAUCGUGCAUAACACAUGCAAGUCGAACGGGACUUUGAUUUGUAGCAAUACAGAUUAAAGUUUAGUGGCAGACGGGUGAGUAAUGUAUAAGGAAUCCACCUUUGAGUGGGGAAUAACAGUCCGAAAGGGUUGCUAAUACCCCAUAAUAUCCUUAAGUGGCAUCACAUAGGGAUUAAAGAUUUAUCGCUUGAAGACGACCUUAUAUUCUAUCAGCUAGUUGGCAGUGUAACGGACUACCAAGGCGACGACGGAUAGCCGGCCUGAAAGGGCGACCGGCCACAAGGGCACUGAGACACGGGCCCUACUCCUACGGGAGGCAGCAGUGGGGAAUUUUGGACAAUGGGCGCAAGCCUGAUCCAGCAACGAUGCGUGGAGGAUGAAGGUUUUCGGAUUGUAAACUCCUUUUAAGGGGGACGAAACAAAUGACGGUACCCCUUGAAUAAGCCACGGCUAACUACGUGCCAGCAGCCGCGGUAAGACGUAGGUGGCAAGCGUUACUCGGAAUUACUAGGCGUAAAGCGCGCGUAGGCGGGAUGUUAAGUCUGUUGUGUAAUCUCUGGGCUCAACCCAGAAACUGCAACGGAAACUGGCGUUCUUGAGUGAGGCAGAGGAAAUCGGAAUUCCUAGUGUAGCAGUGAAAUGCGUAGAUAUUAGGAGGAACACCGGUGGCGAAGGCGGAUUUCUGGGCCUUUACUGACGCUAAAGUGCGAAAGCUAGGGGAGCAAACGGGAUUAGAUACCCCGGUAGUCCUAGCCGUAAACGAUGAUAACUAGGUGUGGGAGGUAUCGACCCCUUCCGUGCCGCCGCUAACGCAUUAAGUUAUCCGCCUGGGGAGUACGGCCGCAAGGUUAAAACUCAAAGGAAUUGACGGGGACCCGCACAAGAGGUGGAGUAUGUGGUUUAAUUCGACGCUACGCGAAAAACCUUACCUGGGCUCGAACGACUGGUGGUAGUUCUUAUGAAAGUAGGAGCGACCCGCAAGGGAGCCAGCCGAGGUGCUGCAUGGUUGUCGUCAGCUCGUGUCGUGAGAUGUUGGGUUAAGUCCCGCAACG